GACGAACGCUGGCGGCGUGCUUAACACAUGCAAGUCGAACGGAAAGGCCCUGCUUUUGUGGGGUGCUCGAGUGGCGAACGGGUGAGUAACACGUGAGUAACCUGCCCUUGACUUUGGGAUAACUUCAGGAAACUGGGGCUAAUACCGGAUAUGAGCUCCUGCUGCAUGGUGUGGGUUGGAAAGUUUCGGCGGUUGGGGAUGGACUCGCGGCUUAUCAGCUUGUUGGUGGGGUAGUGGCUUACCAAGGCUUUGACGGGUAGCCGGCCUGAGAGGGUGACCGGCCACAUUGGGACUGAGAUACGGACCAGAAGCAUACGGGAGGCAGCAGUGGGGAAUAUUGCAGAAUGGGCGGAAGCCUGAUGAAGCAACGCCGCGUGCGGGAUGACGGCCUUCGGGUUGUAAACAGAUUUCGAAUGUGACGAAGCGUGAGUGACGGUAAUGGGUAAAGAAGCAACGGCUAACUACGUG
rnacentral:rRNA from 1 species